ACGGGGGCGGCGGGGCCUGGUCUGCCCGGAGCGCCCGGGCCCUUCAUCCCGGCCUUCGGGCAGGAAAAUCAGCCCCCCGCCCUCCGCAUCGCAGCCCUGCUCGCCUCUUCUUAGUUCUGCGGGGGUUUUGACCAGCGAAGGCCUCUCCUGAUUAUCCCCAGCUACCGGACUAGAACAGACUUGCUUCUCCAGGACAGCGGAACCCAAAACAACAGAUGUGGCCCGGGACAGAAAGGAUGGGCGACAAGCCACCCUGUGCCCCUGGCAGUCACCGCCCUAACGUGGAGCUCACGGACGCUCAUUGACACUGACUGGACCGGUGGGUCAGGGGGUACAAAAGGUGGCGAGGGCAGCAGGUGGGCCCUUCCCUCCUCCCUGAGGCCCGUUCGGACGCUUUCUGCCUGGGACACCCCCCCCACACACACACACCGACCUCUUAAGACGGACUGGCGUCGGGUUUCCUUCCCUCCUCCCUUUGGUCCUUAAUCCUCUCCCUUAAAAGCACCUUUGCAUUGCCUCCCUAAAGGACACUUUCUCACUACAUACGUAUUGACAUCCCGGGUAGCCAUUCACACCUGCAUUGUCCCUAAACAUCAUCCCUCGGUUUGUGUUAACCCUUAAUAAACCGAUUAGUUUGUGGCGCAAA